rnacentral:rRNA from 1 species
CACGAAAGCGUGGGGAGCAAACGGGAUUAGAUACCCCGGUAGUCCACGCCCUAAACUAUGGAUGCUAGCUGUUAGGAGUAUCGACCCUCUUAGUAGCGAAGCUAACGCGUUAAGCAUCCCGCCUGAGUAGUACGAACGCAAGUUUAAAACUCAAAGGAAUUGACGGGGACCCGCACAAGCGGUGGAGCGUGUUGUUUAAUUCGAUGGUAAGCGAAGAACCUUACCCAGGUUUGACAUCCUCGGAAUUUCUCCGAAAGGAGAGAGUGCUUUAUUGAGCCGAGUGACAGGUGUUGCAUGGCCGUCGUCAGCUCGUGUCGUGAGAUGUUUGGUUAAGUCCAUCAACGAGCGCAACCCUUAUAGUUAGUUGAAUUUCUCUAGCUAGACUGCCCCGGUAACGGGGAGGAAGGGGGGGAUGAUGUCAGGUCAGUAUUACCCUUACACCUGGGGCUACAAACACGCUACAAUGGCCGGUACAAAGGGCUGCCAACCCGCGAGGGGGAGCAAAUCCCAUCAAAGCCGGUCUCAGUUCGGAUUGCAGGCUGAAACCCGCCUGCAUGAAGCUGGAAUCGCUAGUAACGGUAGGUCAGCACACUACCGUGAAUACGUUCCCGGGUCUUGUACACACCGCCCGUCAAGUCAUGAAAGUCACCAAUACCUGACGUCUGAAUUUAUUUCGGCCUAAGGUAGGGGAGAUGAUUGGGACUAAGUCGUAACAAGGUAU